GGUUAAGCGACUAAGCGUACACGGUGGAUGCCCUGGCAGUCAGAGGCGAUGAAGGACGUGCUAAUCUGCGAAAAGCGUCGGUAAGGUGAUAUGAACCGUUAUAACCGGCGAUGUCCGAAUGGGGAAACCCAGUGCAAUUCGUUGCACUAUCGUUAACUGAAUACAUAGGUUAACGAGGCGAACCGGGGGAACUGAAACAUCUAAGUACCCCGAGGAAAAGAAAUCAACCGAGAUUCCCCCAGUAGCGGCGAGCGAACGGGGAGCAGCCCAGAGUCUGAAUCAGCUUGUGUGUUAGUGGAACGGUCUGGAAAGUCCGACGGUACAGGGUGAUAGUCCCGUACACCAAAAUGCACAGGCUGUGAACUCGAAGAGUAGGGCGGGACACGUGGUAUCCUGUCUGAAUAUGGGGGGACCAUCCUCCAAGGCUAAAUACUCCUGACUGACCGAUAGUGAACCAGUACCGUGAGGGAAAGGCGAAAAGAACCCCGGCGAGGGGAGUGAAAAAGAACCUGAAACCGUGUACGUACAAGCAGUGGGAGCACCUUCGGGUGUGACUGCGUACCUUUUGUAUAAUGGGUCAGCGACUUAUAUUCUGUAGCAAGGUUAACCGUAUAGGGGAGCCGCAGGGAAACCGAGUCUUAACUGGGCGUUAAGUUGCAGGGUAUAGACCCGAAACCCGGUGAUCUAGCCAUGGGCAGGUUGAAGGUUGGGUAACACUAACUGGAGGACCGAACCGACUAAUGUUGAAAAAUUAGCGGAUGACUUGUGGCUGGGGGUGAAAGGCCAAUCAAACCGGGAGAUAGCUGGUUCUCCCCGAAAGCUAUUUAGGUAGCGCCUCGUGAACUCAUCUUCGGGGGUAGAGCACUGUUUCGGCUAGGGGGUCAUCCCGACUUACCAACCCGAUGCAAACUACGAAUACCGAAGAAUGUUAUCACGGGAGACACACGGCGGGUGCUAACGUCCGUCGUGAAGAGGGAAACAACCCAGACCGCCAGCUAAGGUCCCAAAGUCAUGGUUAAGUGGGAAACGAUGUGGGAAGGCACAGACAGCCAGGAUGUUGGCUUAGAAGCAGCCAUCAUUUAAAGAAAGCGUAAUAGCUCACUGGUCGAGUCGGCCUGCGCGGAAGAUGUAACGGGGCUAAACCAUGCACCGAAGCUGCGGCAGCGACACGAUGUGUUGUUGGGUAGGGGAGCGUUCUGUAAGCCUGCGAAGGUGACCUGUGAGGGUUGCUGGAGGUAUCAGAAGUGCGAAUGCUGACAUAAGUAACGAUAAAGCGGGUGAAAAGCCCGCUCGCCGGAAGACCAAGGGUUCCUGUCCAACGUUAAUCGGGGCAGGGUGAGUCGACCCCUAAGGCGAGGCCGAAAGGCGUAGUCGAUGGGAAACAGGUUAAUAUUCCUGUACUUGGUGUUACUGCGAAGGGGGGACGGAGAAGGCUAUGUUAGCCGGGCGACGGUUGUCCCGGUUUAAGCAUGUAGGCUGGUUAUCCAGGCAAAUCCGGAUAAUCAAGGCUGAGGUGUGAUGACGAGGCACUACGGUGCUGAAGUAACAAAUGCCCUGCUUCCAGGAAAAGCCUCUAAGCAUCAGGUAACAUCAAAUCGUACCCCAAACCGACACAGGUGGUCAGGUAGAGAAUACCAAGGCGCUUGAGAGAACUCGGGUGAAGGAACUAGGCAAAAUGGUGCCGUAACUUCGGGAGAAGGCACGCUGGUGUGUAGGUGAAGUCCCUGCGGAUGGAGCUGAGACCAGUCGAAGAUACCAGCUGGCUGCAACUGUUUAUUAAAAACACAGCACUGUGCAAACACGAAAGUGGACGUAUACGGUGUGACGCCUGCCCGGUGCCGGAAGGUUAAUUGAUGGGGUUAUCCGUAAGGAGAAGCUCUUGAUCGAAGCCCCGGUAAACGGCGGCCGUAACUAUAACGGUCCUAAGGUAGCGAAAUUCCUUGUCGGGUAAGUUCCGACCUGCACGAAUGGCGUAAUGAUGGCCAGGCUGUCUCCACCCGAGACUCAGUGAAAUUGAACUCGCUGUGAAGAUGCAGUGUACCCGCGGCAAGACGGAAAGACCCCGUGAACCUUUACUAUAGCUUGACACUGAACAUUGAGCCUUGAUGUGUAGGAUAGGUGGGAGGCUUUGAAGCGUGGACGCCAGUCUGCGUGGAGCCAACCUUGAAAUACCACCCUUUAAUGUUUGAUGUUCUAACGUUGGCCCCUGACCGGGGUUGCGGACAGUGUCUGGUGGGUAGUUUGACUGGGGCGGUCUCCUCCCAAAGCGUAACGGAGGAGCACGAAGGUUAGCUAAUCCUGGUCGGACAUCAGGAGGUUAGUGCAAUGGCAUAAGCUAGCUUGACUGCGAGCGUGACGGCGCGAGCAGGUGCGAAAGCAGGUCAUAGUGAUCCGGUGGUUCUGAAUGGAAGGGCCAUCGCUCAACGGAUAAAAGGUACUCCGGGGAUAACAGGCUGAUACCGCCCAAGAGUUCAUAUCGACGGCGGUGUUUGGCACCUCGAUGUCGGCUCAUCACAUCCUGGGGCUGAAGUAGGUCCCAAGGGUAUGGCUGUUCGCCAUUUAAAGUGGUACGCGAGCUGGGUUUAGAACGUCGUGAGACAGUUCGGUCCCUAUCUGCCGUGGGCGCUGGAGAAUUGAGGGGGGCUGCUCCUAGUACGAGAGGACCGGAGUGGACGCAUCACUGGUGUUCGGGUUGUCAUGCCAAUGGCACUGCCCGGUAGCUAAAUGCGGAAGAGAUAAGUGCUGAAAGCAUCUAAGCACGAAACUUGCCCCGAGAUGAGUUCUCCCUGAGACUUUAAGUCUCCUGAAGGAACGUUAAAGACGAUGACGUUGAUAGGCCGGGUGUGUAAGCGCAGCGAUGCGUUGAGCUAACCGGUACUAAUGAACCGUGAGGCUUAACCUU
rnacentral:rRNA from 1 species